UACGUAGGGGGCGAGCGUUGUCCGGAGCUACUGGGCGUAAAGCGCACGCAGGCGGUCUGCUAAGUUUGGAGUGACAGUUGGUGGCUUAACUGCCAAAGUGCUUCGAAAACUGACAGACUUGAGGGCUUCAGAGGGACACGGAAUUCCGGGUGGAGUGGUGAAAUGCGUAGAGAUCCGGAGGAACACCAAAGGCGAAGGCAGUGUCCUGGGGAGUACCUGACGCUCAGGUGCGAAAGCCAGGGGGGCGAACGGG
rnacentral:rRNA from 1 species